rnacentral:rRNA from 1 species
GAUGAACGCUAGCGGCAGGCUUAAUACAUGCAAGUCGUGGGCAGCAUGAGUAGCAAUACUUGAUGGCGACCGGCAAACGGGUGAGGAACACGUACACAACCUUCCUUCAAGCGGGGAAUAGCCCAGAGAAAUUUGGAUUAAUACCCCAUAAUAUAUUUGAUAAGGCAUCUUAUUAAUAUUAAAGCUUCGGCACUUGAUGAUGGGUGUGCGGCUGAUUAGAUAGUUGGCGGGGUAACGGCCCACCAAGUCUACGAUCAGUAGCUGAUGUGAGAGCAUGAUCAGCCACACGGGCACUGAGACACGGGCCCGACUCCUACGGGAGGCAGCAG